UCCGCAGCCAAGAUUUUGAAAAGGUAGAGCGUUCUUUCAUUGCUUGGUCUUUGAGUUCUCUAGGACUCUCUACAUUUGUUUCUGUGAGAAGAGUUGGAGAUUUUUCUCUGACCCAUUUCUUUUUCCCCUUUGUGGCGGGUAUCUGCCAUUGCAUUCCACCGAAUUACGAUGCAUAAAAUCCUGAACAGGCUGGUGAAUUACGGGAUCGUG
rnacentral:misc_RNA from 1 species